UUUAAUUGUCCGGGCCCCUAAUGACAUGCAGAGAUGGCUCAAAGGCAGCGGACAUCAAAGCGCAAGGGGAUGGCACGUCGGGCAGGACAGGACAGCCGCUCUGCCCCGCUUGCCAAAAGAACAUCUCCUGCCCCAAACCGCCCCGAUGGUUUCUGCUGCCGAGCGGUGCGGCCAGGCGGCCCCGGCAGGAUUGUAUGCAAAAGCGGUCGGUGGGGAUCCUAAAAAAAACCGGACAGCUCAGGGUGAGAUGAGUCUAAUUAUUGCUGGUUCUAAAAAGAGCUGGAACACCCAAGUAGGGCUUAACUCGUCUCCUGGGAAACUGAUGGAGACCUAUUUUACAAGCUGUAAUUCUGCUUUAGACUAUUGCAGGCUAAAGGCAGUUGACACUAUCCUCUUUCUUCUAGAAAUAGUCCUAAUCCUAUAUUUCGGCCGGGGAAAGUCCGCUUCUGCUCCACACUAGAUUAAUCCAGAAACCACAUAAAACCAGCAGGCGGCAAGAAAGCCCUCGACGUGCCAUUUACCUUAUGGAUUUCUGCAGCCGGAGCCUUGCUGCUGCCAGCAAUCUGCCUGCACGGUCAGUGCAAGAACAGCUGGGACAGGACUGAGUUCUGACAGGUUUUUCACUCUUGCAAGCAACGCAAAGAUUGAAGCUCUCCUUUGCCUGGCUGGAAAGCAGACAGCUACUCCAGUGCCCAGCAGUGAUUCCCCUUCCCACCCCAAUGCCCAGCAGGGGUUUCCUUUCCCACCCCAUCACCGACAGCACCAACACUGAAGGAGGCUGAGGACCCUGAGAUGCUUUGCAGCCUCCUGCACGGCGGGGAAGCAGCCUGUGGUGUGUGAGCACUUGCACUCACCUUCACCGCCCUUUCUUGAUUUUAAUAACAGCACAGGGGAUCAGUGUCAAGGACAGAUGGGGCCAACCUCUGAGCCGUGCUGAGCGCGCUGCUGCCGUGUGUGCGUCCCCUAUGAAACCCCAGAUCCCCAUCUCUGAUUGCCUCUUUGUGUCUGUACUUGUGUGCAAUACCUGCGUUACGCUUCAGUAGACUCGGCAACGGGCAGAAGUGCUAUCUCUGCCUCGAGGAUAUUUGAGAAGAUGCUUCUCUGGGAUGGAUCCUUUUAGGAAAAAAAUAAAUUGUUAAAACGCUUC